GGACCAGGAUCAGUUGAGAACAGAAAUUACUACAAUAUUGACUUCCCAAAAGGUCAUAUUGCUCUCAAAAGCUUUAAUGCUGAAGUAAUUGAUGAAGCUGGGAAUCCUAUUCCUCUUCAUGAAACUUAUCUUCACCAUUGGGUUGUUGCUAGAUACUAUCAUCGUAGGGUUGCUUCAGCUACUGAGAAGAGUCACCCAUCAGAUGAUAUUUUUGCAGGGAAUAGUGGAGUGUGCCAGGGUAGUGUUCUCAGACAGUAUUUUGGCCUUGGAUCAGAAACACGAAAAACAGCAACGCAUGUUCCUGAUCCUUAUGGAAUAGAAAUUGGUAAUCCUACUAAAAUUCCUGCAGGGUACGAGGAGAGAUGGAUGCUAAACGUCCAUGCCAUCGAUAGUCGGGGUGUCGAAGAUAGGUUGGGAUGCAUCGAAUGCAAAUGUGACCUAUACAACGUCGCAGUGGAUGAAAAUGGUAAACCUUUGAGGCCGGAUUAUAAAGGAGGUUUAAAUUGUUGUUAUGACCGCACACAGUGCAGAUUAAUACCAGGUUUUGAGGGUGUCGAGAGGACCCUCUACCUGAGGUAUACAGUGAAGUGGGUCGAUUGGGAUAGUUCAAUUAUCCCAGUCAAAAUCUUUAUAUUUGAUGUCACUGAUACUGGAAAGAGAAUUAAUGGCUCAACAGAAGUCAGUCCAGAAAGUGGCUGCCAGAUUGAGUAUGAAGUUAAGCCUUGCAAUGGCUCUGGUGUUGGUGUUGAUGGAUGCAUUGACAUGAAAAGGACAAGCCUCACCAUGCCCACUGGUGGUUACGUCAUCUAUGGUGUUGCCCACCAGCAUAUAGGAGGAACUGGUUCAACUCUCUAUGGACAGGAUGAACGUGUUAUAUGCAGUUCGAUACCGACCUAUGGAGAAGGAAAAGAAGCAGGAAAUGAGGCUGGUUACAUCGUAGGAAUGUCCACUUGUUAUCCUAAACCAGGCUCUGUCAAGAUUGCAGAAGGGGAGAAUCUAAUUCUGGAAUCUAAAUAUAGCAGAACACAAAUGCACACCGGAGUUAUGGGGCUCUUCUACAUUUUGGUUGCAGACCAAAUAUCAAAUAAUAAAUGAAGAACUGAAAUAAUCCAGUGGGCAGCUGUCGGGACUAGCAAUAACUGUUGCCGUUACGCUCCGAUCUCAGAUAAAGAGAAGAAUAAGUGAUGGCUGUCAACCAAUUAUACAUGAGUGUGGAGGCUUACCCAAAAUAAUGCAAAUGUCUGUGUGCAUUAGUCUUUUUUUUUUUUCUUUUGUCAAAAGCACUAGUCUUUUUGAGUUUUUAAUUCAAAGCUAUUAUAUGUUUGUGUAUGACAAACUCGUUGGAGCAAUCAAUUGGAAAUCAAUGACAUUGGAGUCUGUGGUUGGUUCGUUGGGUUGGUAUUUGGAAUUGGAGGC
rnacentral:misc_RNA from 1 species